GUGAUGCAGAGCUGUACAGAAAUUCGCUACUGGGGUUCAAACACCUGAGUUGAAGCUGCAAACGAGAGCAAUGUCUGGUUUUACAGGUCUUGAUCAUUCAAGGAACCAGACAUAAAAAGGAACUGGAUAUACAACUCAACUGGUCAAAAUCCAUGGAGUAACAAGAAACGAGGCUGAAGAGGAUACAGCUACCUUACUUCAGGACAAGAAACAGAAAUGAACACAUCCUUUGGACAGAAAUCCUUUGAGACCUGAUGAAUCGCAUGGACUGAACUUAUUGAUUUGUCCCUGCUUAACACAGCAUCUCAAAUGGAGUUUUACAUUUUGUCAUAGUCUGGGGUAAGGAUCAUCCCCUGCUUCAGCGUCCCAGGUGCUGGAGUUGGUCCCUUUAACCACCAGUGGGGAUCCCAUUAACCACCAGUGGGGAUCCCAUUAAC